UACGCUCACAUCACAAUGAAACCCUGGUUCCCGUACGAUCACCGAAGUUAAGCAACAUCGAGUCUGGUCAGUACCUAGAUGAUUACCUGUUUGGGAAUACCAAGUGUUGA